rnacentral:piRNA from 1 species
UACUGUCUACAGUCAAUCGUUGAGCAGU